ACGGCUCAGUAACACGUGGAUAACCUGCCCUUGGGUCCGGCAUAACCCCGGGAAACUGGGGAUAAUUCCGGAUAACGCACAUAUGCUGGAAUGCUUUAUGCGUAAAAUGGAUUCGUCUGCCCAAGGAUGGGUCUGCGGCCUAUCAGGUAGUAGUGGGUGUAAUGUACCUACUAGCCGACGACGGGUACGGGUUGUGAGAGCAAGAGCCCGGAGAUGGAUUCUGAGACAUGAAUCCAGGCCCUACGGGGCGCAGCAGGCGCGAAAACUUUACAAUGCGGGAAACCGUGAUAAGGGGACACCGAGUGCCAGCAUCAUAUGCUGGCUGUCCAGGUGUGUAAAAUACACCUGUUAGCAAGGGCCGGGCAAGACCGGUGCCAGCCGCCGCGGUAACACCGGCGGCCCGAGUGGUGAUCGUGAUUAUUGGGUCUAAAGGGUCCGUAGCCGGUUUGGUCAGUCCUCCGGGAAAUCUGAUAGCUCAACUAUUAGGCUUUCGGGGGAUACUGCCAGACUUGGAACCGGGAGAGGUAAGAGGUACUACAGGGGUAGGAGUGAAAUCUUGUAAUCCCUGUGGGACCACCUGUGGCGAAGGCGUCUUACCAGAACGGGUUCGACGGUGAGGGACGAAAGCUGGGGGCACGAACCGGAUUAGAUACCCGGGUAGUCCCAGCCGUAAACGAUGCUCGCUAGGUGUCAGGCAUGGCGCGACCGUGUCUGGUGCCGCAGGGAAGCCGUGAAGCGAGCCACCUGGGAAGUACGGCCGCAAGGCUGAAACUUAAAGGAAUUGGCGGGGGAGCACAAU
rnacentral:rRNA from 1 species